rnacentral:rRNA from 1 species
CAGUCGCCGCGGGAAUACGAAGGGUGCAAGCGUUAAUCGGAAUUACUGGGCGUAAAGCGUGCGUAGGUGGUGGUUUAAGUCCGUUGUGAAAGCCCUGGGCUCAACCUGGGAAUUGCAGUGGAUACUGGGUCACUAGAGUGUGGUAGAGGAUAGUGGAAUUUCCGGUGUAGCAGUGAAAUGCGUAGAGAUCGGAAGGAACAUCUGUGGCGAAGGCGACUAUCUGGGCCAACACUGGCACUGAGGCACGAAAGCGUGGGGAGCAAACAGGAUUAGAUACCCCCGUAGUCCCUGUCUCUUAUAC